AUUGAACGCUGGCGGCAGGCCUAACACAUGCAAGUCGAGCGAGCGGCGGACGGGUGAGUAAUGUAUGGGGACUGCCCGAUAGAGGGGGAUAACUACUGGAAACGGUGGCUAAUACCGCAUACUAUCGGAUAACCCAUUGGGGAUUAGCUAGUAGGUGGGGUAAAGGCUCACCUAGGCGACGAUCUCUAGCUGGUCUGAGAGGAUGAUCAGCAAAAGUGGGACUGGGACAGGGCCAAGAGUCCUACGGAGGCAGCAGUGGGGAAUAUUGCACAAUGGGCGAAAGCCUGAUGCAGCCAGGCCGCGUGGAUGAAGAAGGCCUUAGGGUGGUAAAGUACUUUCAGCGGGGAGGCGGUACCCGCAGAAGAAGCACCGGCUAACUCCGUGCCAGCAGCCGCGGUAAUUC
rnacentral:rRNA from 1 species